rnacentral:rRNA from 1 species
UACGAAGGGGGGCUAGCGUUGCUCGGAAUCACUGGGCGUAAAGCGCACGUAGGCGGACAGUUUAGUCAGAGGUGAAAGCCCAGGGCUCAACCUUGGAAUUGCCUUUGAUACUGGCUGUCUUGAGUUCGGGAGAGGUGAGUGGAAUGCCGAGUGUAGAGGUGAAAUUCGUAGAUAUUCGGCGGAACACCAGUGGCGAAGGCGACUCACUGGCCCGAUACUGACGCUGAGGCGCGAAAGCGUGG